rnacentral:rRNA from 1 species
UACGGGGGGGGCAAGCGUUGUUCGGAAUUACUGGGCGUAAAGGGCGCGUAGGCGGUUCGCUAAGUCGGAUGUGAAAACUCUGGGCUCAACCCAGAGCCUGCAUCCGAAACUGGCGGGCUAGAGUUCUGGAGGGGGUAGCGGAAUUCCUGGUGUAGCGGUGAAAUGCGUAGAUAUCAGGAGGAACACCGGUGGCGAAAGCGGCUCUCUGGGACGGUACUGACGCUGAGACGCGAAAGCGUGGGGAGCGAACAGG